CUGGCACCUUCGGUGUCCGAGUUGUAAUUUGAAGAAGGUAACUUUGGAGUCAGCUCUUGUCUAUGUUCCUUGGAACAGGACGUCACAGAGGGUGAGAAUCCCGUGCGAUGAGAUGUCUGAUUCUAUGUAAAGUGCUUUCGAAGAGUCGAGUUGUUUGGGAAUGCAGCUCUAAGUGGGUGGUAAAUUCCAUCUAAAGCUAAAUAUUGGCGAGAGACCGAUAGCGAACAAGUACAGUGAUGGAAAGAUGAAAAGAACUUUGAAAAGAGAGUGAAAAAGUACGUGAAAUUGUUGAAAGGGAAGGGUUUGAGAUCAGACUUGGUAUUUUGUAUGUCUUGCUUUCGGGUGGGGCCUCUACAGUUUACUGGGCCAGCAUCGGUUUGGACGGUAGGAUAAUGACAUUGGAAUGUGGCACCACUUCGGUGGUGUGUUAUAGACUUUGUUGAUACUGCCUGUCUAGACCGAGGACUGCGUCUUUGACUAGGAUGCUGGCAUAAUGAUCUUAAACCGCCC
rnacentral:rRNA from 1 species